ACAUGCAAGUCGAACGCAGUAGCAAUACUGAGUGGCAAACGGGUGAGUAUAAUGUGGGAAUCUGCCUUUUGGUUUGGAAUAACACGGGGAAACUUGUGCUAAUACCGAAUAAGCCCUUACGGGGAAAGUUUUAAUGCCGAAAGAUGAGCCCGCACUUGAUUAGCUAGUUGGUAAGGUAAAAGCUUACCAAGGCAACGAUCAAUAGCUGUUCUUAGAGGAAGACCAGCCACAUUGGGACUGAGACACGGCCCAGACUCCUACGGGAGGCAGCAGUGGGGAAUCUUGCACAAUGGGGGAAACCCUGAUGCAGCGAUGCCGCGUGAGUGAAGAAGGCCCUUGGGUUGUAAAACUCUUUCGUCGGGGAAGAAAAUGACUGUACCCGAAUAAGAAG
rnacentral:rRNA from 1 species